rnacentral:rRNA from 1 species
AUGGAAACCCUACCUUAUGAGAUUCGUGAGGCGACGGAAGUACUGGACAAGGGUCUUCGUGCCAGAGCUCGGGAGGCCGAGCAGCAGAGCAGGACGCAGAGAUGCGGGACACGGCUUCCCAGCGCGGAGGAGGCCCGAAGCGAAGGCCCGGACGAUGCCUACCGGAUCCAGGAGAUUGCGGAGAAGCAGGCGAUGGAGAUGAUCCAAUGGUACUAUGAUAAGCUCAAGGAGAAGGAACCGGAUUCUUAUCAAGACUCGUCUGAUUAUGAAGUCUCGUCAUCGUCUGAUGACGAAGACUCGUGUGAGUCUGAUGAAGAUAGGUGUCGCCGUGACUGGAACCGUCUAUACGCCGGCGUGUUCGGCUCCUUCGAUGAUAUCACGUCUAUCCCAGCCAUGCGUUACACGGACAAACCUGCGCCUCCCAACUCCGCCUGGGAGGAUGACACUCUACAUAUCUUUUCAAUUGAAGUCAUGGGAAGAGAGCAGCAAAAAUUAGAGCGGCCGCUGGAUGUGUUUGGUAUGGUUGCUGCACGCGACUCGCUGGACCACAAUCGCAACAUUAUCUUCAGUCGUGAACGGGACAAUCCUCAGACCAUCAGUGAGGAGAGUCCCUAUCUAGAACUCACAGGCCCUACACGUGCUGUUGUGGUGUCGGAUCGUGCGGACUUUGAGGUUAAGCUGAAAGUGAAGGGCGCUAGUGAAUCCGAGGAUGAAUAUUUAAGCUGUGUUUCUAUUCCCUACAAGAUCUAUUCCAGACCCACUCGUUCACGCUUGGGUAAUAAGCUUGAGACUAGCAAGCUCACCACACUCAAGUUCACAUUUGGCUUCAUUGUCAACUCUGUGGAGGCCACGAUCAGCGUGAGGGUUAUCAGUGGAUCAUGGCCACAGAGUUCUCGAAGUUUAUUUACUGCCAGCACCGCCAGCAUAGAUCACAUGGAAGUCGGUUGCUCGAUUUCGGAGGCGACGGACUGCCUGUUGCCGCUGAUGGCAAGGUUCAGCUUUCACGCCGUGUUGCUUCCGUCGAGCUUGCUGGUGAGCUGA